rnacentral:rRNA from 1 species
UACGUAGGAGGCGAGCGUUGUCCGGAGUUACUGGGCGUAAAGGGUGCGCAGGCGGCCCGGCACGUGGGCAGUGAAAUCUCCCGGCUUACCUGGGAGGGGGCUGUCCAGACGGCGCGGGCUUGGAGCGGCGGAGAGGGACGUGGAAUUCCGGGUGGAGCGGUGAAAUGCGUAGAGAUCCGGAGGAACACCGACGGCGAAGGCAGCGUCCUGGCCGCCCGCUGACGCUCAGGCACGAAAGCCGGGGGAGCGA